GUAGUCGUGGCCGAGCGGUUAAGGCGAUGGACUUGAAAUCCAUCGGGUUCUCCCCGCGCAGAUUCGAACCCUGCAGACUGCG